rnacentral:rRNA from 1 species
GUGCUAAUACCGUAUAUCUCUAAGGAUCGCAUGAUUCUUAGAUGAAAGAUGGUUCUGCUAUCGCUUUUAGAUGGACCCGCGGCGUAUUAACUAGUUGGUGGGGUAACGGCCUACCAAGGUGAUGAUACGUAGCCGAACUGAGAGGUUGAUCGGCCACAUUGGGACUGAGACACGGCCCAAACUCCUACGGGAGGCAGCAGUAGGGAAUCUUCCACAAUGGACACAAGUCUGAUGGAGCAACGCCGCGUGAGUGAAGAAGGUCUUCGGAUCGUAAAACUCUGUUGUUAGAGAAGAACACGAGUGAGAGUAACUGUUCAUUCGAUGACGGUAUCUAACCAGCAAGUCACGGCUAACUACGUGCCAGCAGCCGCGGUAAUACGUAGGUGGCAAGCGUUGUCCGGAUUUAUUGGGCGUAAAGGGAACGCAGGCGGUCUUUUAAGUCUGAUGUGAAAGCCUUCGGCUUAACCGGAGUAGUGCAUUGGAAACUGGAAGACUUGAGUGCAGAAGAGGAGAGUGGAACUCCAUGUGUAGCGGUGAAAUGCGUAGAUAUAUGGAAGAA